UUAAAUACUUAUCAAUUUAUUAUAUUAUAUAAUUUUAAUAUAUUUAAUUUAUAAAUAUAAAUUAUAAUAAUAAUAUAUAUAGCCUAAUAAUUAACAUAAAUUAUAAAUAAAUAAUAUAUAGAAUACAUAAUAAUAAUAAUAAUAAAAUAUAUUUUUUCCUUUCAACCAUUCAACCAAACAACUAUAACUGAAAACUAGUUUUCUUUUCCUACAAACCAAACACCAAACUACGUAAAACUUUUUUUCCACUGAAAAUUUUUUUCCACCGAAAAUUUUUUUUCCCAGUUUUACGUCAAACCAAACAGCCCCUUAGCUGCAGGACGAAAAUU
rnacentral:lncRNA from 1 species